UCUACUGUCCCUGUCUCUUAUUUUUCAUAUCGACGUCUGCUCAUCAACGGGACUCGGUUUGGGUCAACAUAAAUUCUUAUUUCCCCUUGAUGCCCUUCCAUGGAUCUCAAUACUAAUACUAAUACUAAGAAGAAGAAGAAGAAGAAGAACCAAAAGAACAAGAAGAAGAAUGAAAAUGGCAGAGAAACCAUGUGCUAGGAAUAGAGAAAAAUGAGAUAUAUGAGCCAAUUUCUUAUUCUCCUUUUUUUAUAAUUAGAGACAAACCAAGUGCAGAGGAAGGAGAAACAUUAAAUCGAUCAACCUAGUCCGCCUUUUUUUCCUCUCCGCGGCAAGAGACGAACAAAUUGCAACACGAGGAGAGGGAGACUAAAACAACCACACGGGAGAAAUGAAAACACAGACGCAAGAAAAAAUAAAAGAAAGAAAACAAUAAUGGAAGAGGAAAACAACAUAUCAAAAACAUCAGAUAACGAGGAGGAGGAGGAGAAGGGAGAGGAUGAAAAAGAGUAUAUAUAUAUGGGAGCCACGCCAGUCUUUCCUCACCUGAUAACUAUGUCACCACUCCCACGCAGCGGAAGGAAGAUGCGUGUGGCUUUGGUGGUAGUGGUGGUGGCGGUGGUGGUGGCGACGGUGAGCACGCAACCACCAGCAGACAAGCCACAAGGAGACGAGGGGGGUGCCGGGAAGAGAAACCCCAGAUUUAACAUACCAGGGGGUGUUAUGGGCCUCGUAUAUGGAGCAUUGAAUCCCUAUGGCUUUCUUCCGCCCAUGCAUCCGUACCCUCAACCUUAUCCCCACGGCCAGUGUGGUGGGCCCCCCGGAUAUUGUGACUGACUUGGGCACCGUCAUGAAGAUUUUUCUCGAAGUGCAUCCUGCCCAGAACAUGAUUAAUUAGUUUUACCUGUAGAAAGAUCGGUUGUCACCUGUAAUCGGCUAAUCUAUUCUACCCCAGCUCUUGUGGCUGACUGGGGCACCACCAUGGAGGCUUUUUUUCGAAGUGCAUUCCGCCCAUGACUUAGUUGAUUAGUUAACCUGUAGAAAUGUUUUUUUUUUUUUUUUACGGCAAGGGAGGCAGCUCAAGUCCAAAAAAAACAAAAACAAGAAAAAAAAGCCCGCUACACGCUGCUCCGACAAAAGAAAAAAAAAGGAACGAGAGGCCAGAAGAGGGGUCAAGUGCUCUCACCUCUGCUCGACUAAUCUAUUCCACCUGUGUUGUUACAAGUAGUCUCACCUGCCCGGCUGGAAGUAGACACUAAUUAAGCCAUUACUCUGGUUAUUAUGCUUUUAUGAGAUAUUUUUCACUUUCCCUUGCAUAUUUCGAGUCACUGCUGACUGCUUUGUGACCAAUAAACUAAUUACUAUUA